CAAACUUCUGACAUCUCUGCCAUCUGUUGGUGACGGUCGUACCCAGCAGUACCACUGACUGCAGUUUCCAAAGUCACGCUGGAUGUGCAAAGUGGUGCCUCAUUUCCAGGCCAGGUUUCUUUGUUGUUUGUUUUUCCAGGAAUCCCCCAUCCUUUUCUCUCCCGUUUUUAUUCUUUGUUUUAUUCUUCAGCUUCUCGAGGCUGUGUUUUGUGGUUUUUUCUCUUAGCCCUUUCCCAUUCUCCAGCCGGACAUGACGCCAGAAAUUAGAGAAAAACCCACUUCUCCACCUCUCCUUCAAUACACCCAAGGGAUGGGAACUCUCUCCCAAGGGAUGGGAACCUCUUGGCAUGAAGCUGAGUCACCAUCCCUGGAGGUGUUCAAGAACCACGUAAAUGUUGUGCUAAGGGACGUGGUUCAGUGGGGGAAAUGGUGGUGGUGGAUGGUUGGACUGGAUGGUCUUGGAGCUCUUUUCCAACCGUGGUGACUCUGUGAAACAUCUGGACUUUUCCCCAUGGAAAUAAUUGCUGGGAGUGAUUUGAGGGGCAAAGCUGGCCUAAAUGGUGGGGAAGUCUCCCAUGCUUUAUUCAUUCCAAGCACUGAAUUCAGCGGGAGUUGGGAUGUACCUCGCAAAGGAGGAGCUGAGGUGGAGUGGGAAGUAAAGGUGAGGAUGCAGCAGUGAGAAGAGGCUGAAGGGGCAGUGCAUGAGUGCUGGGGGCUCACGUUUCCAGCCUGCACUGCAAAGCUGACGGGAAGCUCUUAGUCCAACCUCACUAAAACAAACUGGUGUGACCGGCACCUCUGUGUCUGGGAAGCCACUGAUGGGAUCACCAAGGUCACAGAAUGGGGCUCGCUGGGACAGAGCCAGCCCCAUCCCUGGGCACACGGGUGGCUGAAUCUACAUUGGGUUUCCUGGAAGGUACUGCUUUGGUGCGAGACUGAUGAGCAUCUCCAGUGAUGAGCAGCGGGAUGCUGGUGGCUAUGGGAUGCUAGGUGUGGAUGAAGCUGGUUUUUCACCCUCCUCUGCAAAGCAGAGGGACACCCCCGUGAUGUUUCAGUCACCUCAGUGGUGGAGGCAGCAUCCAUAGGACAUCACGACCCUAUACAGCUCAUGGUGGGAAGAACCAUGAGCAAGAAAUCUCUCUCUGCUGAUGGCGCGCGAACCUUCUCUGGUGAUACGAGCACUGAUUUGGGAGGAGUGGAGUUUUUUACCCUGGGGCACUCCAGGAGAUCAAACUGAUGGUUUGGUUCAGUUUUAUAGCCAGAAGAGAAAUCUACUGUGCUUACUUUGAAUGCAACACGUGUUCUUUUUUGUUUCCCUAAUCUUCCGGACUAAAAAGGGGCUAAAUGGAGCCUGAAGUAUAAUUUUCAGACAGAGAAAAUAUAAAGAAGAACAGUCAUCGAGGCUGCAUGCUAAUGGAAUAAUAGGACCUGCUGGAGGCAAGUUCAUAAACUGCGGGCUGUGUAAUGGAUCAUCUCCAGGCUCUGCCACUGACUCCUCAAGAGAGACUCGUUGACAUACCUUUGCAUGAAGCAAUUCACUGCUUCUUGGAUCUCCCAUGAUUGUAUGAUUGAAGGAUGACCACGGAUACUGCAGAUCUCCAGAACAGACCACCUCACCCUGACAAACAAAUGCACGUUCCUCCGUAAUUUUCCAACAGGAUUUGCAGUGGGUGGGCACAGGCUGGAGAGCUUGGCAGCGCUUCCAGUAGGGCUGUUUGCUGCAGAAAACACUUAUUUUUAUCCAUGUAUGGAAUAAUUGUCUCCUGGUGUCUGUGAUGAAAUCUGUGAUUUGUGCAGCCACGCUCCCUCGCUCUACAAGCUCUGCACCAACACUCUCUGUACACCCCAAAGCAAGACACCAACGCUGGCUUUAACCAUCCUCCUCUCCAUCCAUAUAAAUCCCUUUCUGUAAACCUACCCCCGGCUCUUCUCAGCCAGAAGAGCAUGUCGUGGAGGGCAGGUCCUACUUCGGCUGGUUGGUUGGAUGGUAGCCUUUUCCCACACUGGUCAGCAACUCCCAGACCAGAGCACCUUAUCUCUGUACCUCCCUGUCCAAAAGGAGAGCCUACCCUGACACCCCCACCCCUCCGACGUGUCCUCAGUGCCCUCUGAUGCGUCCCUGAGGCACAGGAGGGGGUGGAUGGAAUGUUUUCCU
ensembl:lncRNA